UUGCUUGUAGAGUAAUGCCAUUUAAAUAAUAAAGCUAGGUUUAUAGAAUUUUACGUCAUGAUCAGUGCCAUCAAAGGGCGCUAAAAAUUUUCUUUUCUAACGAAAAUUAUUAUGCCAUGAGAAUAUGCGUUGUUCGGUUCUAAUAUUGCAACUUAGGGCAUAUCUGGGACAGCACCACCUGGCAACGUAUUCGGCAGGACAGCUGUUCACUUCCGGCAUUACUCCUACCGGUCGUUGGUGUUAUUGUACCUCUAUAAUCCAUAGGUUGCAUAUUGUGUUACAAUAACCGAUAGCCCGUGGUACGAUAGGAUGGGUUAACUAACCCUGAAUAAACUUCGAAAAGUCUGGAAGUGGCGAGAACCAAACAUUAAAAAUAGGCAUCGCUGAAAUAUUGAGCCUACCCAUAAAUAGGGUUCAGAGGGCCAGGUACGUACGUAACGAGACGUGCAGGUGUCAGUGUAAAAACACAGUAUUAAGUGCACCCGCACACUAGAAUUUAUCAUGGAAACCCUAUUGAUUUCCAUGAGCCGAUGUGUUUAAAUCAUCAUUCACCAGCUACCUGGGCCGACGCUGUUAUUUCCCAAGAAUGUCAGGAUCAGUUCUUUACUACACACACUACUGCCACGAUUCCUCUUGAAAAUUGUCGCAGCAAGCUCGACAUCCUAUCCCAGAAAUGUGGCUGGUUGAGGCACGACAGAGCCUUGUUAAAACCCGGGAUGUGUUCAUCUUGGCCCAAAGCCACUGGCUGGCCGGUACAGUGGCCCUUGCCCUUACCUUCCUCGGAUUUGGCCUUUCCGUUGACUGGUCAUGGUCGUACCUGGAGGCCCGGGCUAUAGUUCAUCUGCAUUCGUUCCUAUUAGUCUACGCAGUCCUUCACCUUGGUAUGCUCGUGGCUAUCCAAGUUGACUGCGGAAUGCAUUGCAUCUGGAAAUGUAAGAAGCAUUUAACUGCUCGGAAUAUGAAGGACGCGGAACAUCUUUUUUCCUUGUGCUCUGUGUCAGUGCACUAUUUCUCAUCAUCGCAAUGCUGAUCAUGUACCGCGUCGUGUCCUUUCGCCAGUGCAUGAGUCUUCAGACGGUACUUGAUUCAGCCGGAGAACGUUGCUGUGCACAGCCUCAUUGUAACCUUCAGCGACCAUUCGUGGACUAUGGUUACAUUUACUUUUUGAUUUACGGCUUCUGCAUGGCCAAUGCCAUCUUCUCCAUUGUAAUGACUACGAUUAUUCUGAUUAAGAUGCCUGCAACGGAAAUUGCCGUUGUGGGACAUAAAGGGGAUGGCAUUAAAAAGUUGGAGUGCGACCUGGAAAAAGACCCGGGAAUGGAUGGUCUGGUGGAAGGCAAAGACAUCGGCGGUCUACAAUGUAUUGAAUGUGUUAAGGAAUUCUUGGCCCGGCAACGGCAAAAAUCGAAGCCCUAUGUAACAGGACAUUAAGGGACUGCUUGUUGACGAACAAGGGAAGCCACUACAUCUGCACGUGUUUGCUUUCAGCUCGCGGAUGAAUCUUAAGUUGAAGAGCUAAUCAACUUACGUUUCAAAGACUCAAUCACUGUUUGCAAAAAUACGUGUAAACCGGUUGUGUUGUUUAAACAUAUUUACGCUCUGUUUGCUUGAGUAAUAAUAAUUAUUAAUAUUGAUUAUUGA